UCUCUACAGAUUUCCUUUUUCUUCUCUGCGAUGACUCUCGGUUCCACAGCAAAAGAAAUGCACCAACACCCAAAGCUUCACAGAUCCAGGGCCAAUAGUCCAAAACUCAUCCAUCUGCAGGAUCGGACUCCGAUGUCGUGGAUGACUCCCAUUGCUUCUUCCAAAUCUUCAUCUUCUUCUUCGUCUUCUGCAACUUCCCAGAAAUACAGAGGAUCCAUACCGUCCGCCUAAAAAAAGCGGGUGACGUCGCCCUGACGUCACACCCACUCGGGCUCUCGGGCUGGCACAAGUUGCCAGGCCUGUCCCUCGGGCUGGGCCUGUCCCUCUGGCUGCCACACGCUGGACCUCUCCCGUCGGGCUCUAUGGCACUGUUCAACCCACUGUCCCCCGAGUUAUAGCUCCCGCUGGAGCUGCUCUUAGUAAUUAAGUUUAAGGACCGAUGUGAUCAAUGCCUUUGUAUCAUAUUUUUCAAUUCAGUGUCAUACAUAUAAUUGUUUUUAGGGUUUGAAACUAGUAUAAUAAUUUAAGAAAGAGAAGAGUUUCGAACUCGAAACGCAUCAAUAAAAACUUAAUACCAUAUAAAAACUAGUA